CGCUCCUAACCUGAUGCCAGGUCAGAGUCUAGAUGGUGAGAGAGUGGGAAAGCUGUUUACGCAAAGGACUGUCUGGCUUAUACCCGAGCGUCACUUGGAGUCUGAAGAAACAGGUCAAUCAUCAGAUGAAGAUGAAGCAGGAACAAGUGCAAUUAUGAUCAAC